GCAAAACCACAGAAACAGCAAAACCCAGCCCUUCUGGAUUCUACUAAAAGAAAAAAAAGAAAAAAGAAAAAAGAGAAAAUUUUUGAGUAAGGUUGUAAUAAACGUUAUGCAGAUUACAUCCAUGCAAUUAAAGUUGAACCCAUCCUGGUGUACGAUAUUAAGGAUUCUGUUCUGAAAAAUGAGCUUUUCUCUAUUUAUUCCUUGAAGUGAACAAUCACCCAGUGAAAACAAAAGCUCCUGCUGAAGACAACAGAAGAUAGAGGAUGGAGUAACCUAUCUGGAAAGAAGAAGAACUGCAGAAGCCUUUGACACUCACUGUUUUCAAGAAGAGACUGCAAGAUGCUGGGAAUCAUUGCCCUUGUUCUGCUGCUGAUAGUCCCUGGAAUGCAUUGUGUCACCUGUGAUGUCCGUUCUUCUUCAUGGCAAACCUUUUACCUAGCUGUCUGUUUUACAUCUUAACAAAUGCUUUCAGUCCUGUCCAGGUGUCCAAGUCUCUGCAUCUUUCACAGCUUGUGCUCAUUCUGAAUAAUUCAGGGGACGACAUCCUAAGAAAACGAAUAGUCUAUCUAGCUCUGUAUAACUGCAGAGCAACUGAACUUAAAAUGUUGCAGCUUUCACGAGCAAUGAAGUAAAGACAGUAAAUUCAACUUCAGUAUUCAGAGAUAUUGUUAUCAAAGGCAUUUCAAAGCCCUCUAGUCAUAAUUAAAAACUGAGAAGUAUGUUUUCUCGAAAAGACACGAAAAAGAGAAUAUUUACCUCUUCACAUGGCUUUCUUCUAUAUCAUUGGUUAGUACCAAAAGGAUUCAAACAGUAGUACAUACAAAUCUGCACCUGCACUUAAUCAAAACAAACUACUUCUUAGCAGCCUGCUUAUCAGGCAAUGAGGAAAUUGCUUCUGUAUGUUCACAAAUACACUGAAAAAUAUUAAAUCAUUAAACUAGCCUGACUGGCACAUGUAACAAUAACCCCCAUCCUUUUAAAGCCAUAUUAUAGCUACUAGUAAGAAUCAUUUUAUAAAUCAAAAUAAAUCAGCAAGAAUAAUACCAUUCUAUGGGAAAAUAGAGGAAUUAUAACCUUACUUCCCGCUUCAUAAGGGUGUUCAUUUUAUGUUUUCAUAUUGAUUCAUUUGGUAUCACAUUACUGUGAAUAAACUGUUCUGUGACAAGUGUGUUCUUAAAAAGUUAACUAACUAUGAGGGAAAACUUUCC
rnacentral:lncRNA from 1 species